AUUGAACGCUGGCGGCAGGCCUAACACAUGCAAGUCGAGCGGAUGAAGGGAGCUUGCUCCUGGAUUCAGCGGCGGACGGGUGAGUAAUGCCUAGGAAUCUGCCUGGUAGUGGGGGAUAACGUCCGGAAACGGGCGCUAAUACCGCAUACGUCCUGAGGGAGAAAGUGGGGGAUCUUCGGACCUCACGCUAUCAGAUGAGCCUAGGUCGGAUUAGCUAGUUGGUGGGGUAAAGGCCUACCAAGGCGACGAUCCGUAACUGGUCUGAGAGGAUGAUCAGUCACACUGGAACUGAGACGCGGUCCAGACGCCUACGGGAGGCAGCAGUGGGGAAUAUUGGACAAUGGGCGAAAGCCUGAUCCAGCCAUGCCGCGUGUGUGAAGAAGGUCUUCGGAUUGUAAAGCACUUUAAGUUGGGAGGAAGGGCAGUAAGUUAAUACCUUGCUGGUUUGACGUUACCAACAGAAUAAGCACCGGCUAACUUCGUG
rnacentral:rRNA from 1 species